CCUACGGGAGGCAGCAGUGGGGAAUUUUGGACAAUGGGCGCAAGCCUGAUCCAGCAAUGCCGCGUGAGUGAAGAAGGCCUUCGGGUUGUAAAGCUCUUUUGUCAGGGAAGAAACGGUCUACUCUAAUACAGUGGGCUAAUGACGGUACCUGAAGAAUAAGCACCGGCUAACUACGUGCCAGCAGCCGCGGUAAUACGUAGGGUGCAAGCGUUAAUCGGAAUUACUGGGCGUAAAGCGUGCGCAGGCGGUUAUAUAAGUCAGAUGUGAAAUCCCCGGGCUCAACCUGGGAACUGCAUUUGAGACUGUAUGGCUAGAGUGUGUCAGAGGGGGGUAGAAUUCCACGUGUAGCAGUGAAAUGCGUAGAUAUGUGGAGGAAUACCGAUGGCGAAGGCAGCCCCCUGGGAUAACACUGACGCUCAUGCACGAAAGCGUGGGGAGCAAACAGGAUUAGAUACCCUGGUAGUCCACGCCCUAAACGAUGUCUACUAGUUGUCGGGACUUAAUUGUCUUGGUAACGCAGCUAACGCGUGAAGUAGACCGCCUGGGAAGUACGGUCGCAAGAUUAAAACNCAAAUGAAAUUGACGG
rnacentral:rRNA from 1 species